AUAAAUAUAUACCAUAUAUAAUAGUGUAAAAUAUAAAAUAAUACAAAAUACCUAUUAGAAUAUAAUAUAUAAAAUACGUAAUAAUAAUAAAUAUAUAUCAUAUAUAAUAAUGUAAAAUAUAAAAUAAUACAAAAUACCUCAUAGAAUAUAAUAUAUAAAAUACGUAAUAAUAAUAAAUAUAUAUCAUAUCGAUGUAUCGAUCGAUGUAUUUACCUAUUGGGACUUGAAAGUAUUUGUAAUAUUUUAUUUUAUUUUAUAUUAUAUAUAUUAUAUUUAUAUUAUUUUAUAUUACGUAUCUUUGCAUCUAUUGUCGAAGCUCCUACAUUAGGGGAUCAGGGUAAAUGAUAAAUAAAUAAUAGAUAAAUGAUAAAUUAUAAAUAAAUGAUAGAUAAAUGAUAGAUAGACAAUGAAUUGGUGGAUAGAUAGAUGGAUGGAUGGAAUGGUGGAUAGAUAGAGUGAGAUGAUUGAUUGAUGGAUAGGUAGAUGGAUGGAUGGAUGGAAUGGUGGAUAGAUAGAGUGAUAGAUAAAUAGAUAGAUAGAUAGGUAGAUGAAUUAAUGGAUAGAUGGAUAGAUAGUGAUUGAUGGAUAGGAAGAUGGAUGGAUCGAUGGAUGGAUUAGUGGAUGAAUAGAUUGAUAGAUGAAUUGAUGGAUUUGUGGAUAGAUAGAUAGAUAGAUAGAUAGAUAGAUAGAUAGAGCAAUUGAUGGAUUGAUUGAUUGAUUCAUAGGAAGAUGGAUGGAUAGAUAGUGAUUGAUUGAUUGAUUGAUAGAUGGAUGGAUCGAUGGAUGGAUUUGUGGAUGAAUAGAUAGAUGAAUUGAUGGAUGGAUUGAUUGAUGGAUGGAUGGAUAGGAAUAUGGAUGGAUAGAUAGUGAUUGAUUGAUUGAUAGAUGGAUGGAUCAAUGGAUGGAUUUGUGGAUGAAUAGAUAGAUGAAUUGAUGGAUGGAUUGAUUGAUGGAUGGAUAGGAAGAUGGAUGGAUAGAUAGUGAUUGAUGGAUAGGAAGAUGGAUGGAUCGAUGGAUGGAUUUGUGGAUGAAUAGAUAGAUGAAUUGAUGGAUGGAUUGAUUGAUGGAUGGAUGGAUGGAUGGAUGGAUGGAUAGGAAGAUGGAUGGAUAGAUAGUGAUUGAUUGAUUGAUUGAUUGAUAGAUGGAUGGAUCAAUGGAUGGAUUUGUGGAUGAAUAGAUAGAUGAAUUGAUGGAUGGAUUGAUUGAUGGAUGGAUGGAUGGAUAGGAAGAUGGAUGGAUAGAUAGUGAUUGAUUGAUUGAUUGAUUGAUAGAUGGAUGGAUCAAUGGAUGGAUUUGUGGAUGAAGAGAUAGAUGAAUUGAUGGAUGGAUUGAUUGAUGGAUGGAUGGAUAGGAAGAUGGAUGGAUAGAUAGUGAUUGAUUGAUUGAUUGAUGGAUGGAUUGAUCAAUGGAUGGAUUUGUGGAUGAAGAGAUAGAUGAAUUGAUGGAUGGAUUGAUUGCUGGAUGGAUGGAUAGGAAUAUGGAUGGAUAGAUAGUGAUUGAUUGAUUGAUAGAUGGAUGGAUCAAUGGAUGGAUUUGUGGAUGAAGAGAUAGAUGAAUUGAUGGAUGGAUUGAUUGAUGGAUGGAUGGAUAGGAAUAUGGAUGGAUAGAUAGUGAUUGAUUGAUUGAUAGAUGGAUGGAUCAAUGGAUGGAUUUGUGGAUGAAUAGAUAGAUGAAUUGAUGGAUGGAUUGAUUGAUGGAUGGAUGGAUGGAUAGGAAGAUGGAUGGAUAGAUAGUGAUUGAUUGAUUGAUUGAUUGAUAGAUGGAUGGAUCAAUGGAUGGAUUUGUGGAUGAAUAGAUAGAUGAAUUGAUGGAUGGAUUGAUUGAUGGAUGGAUGGAUGGAUAGGAAGAUGGAUGGAUAGAUAGUGAUUGAUUGAUUGAUUGAUUGAUAGAUGGAUGGAUCAAUGGAUGGAUUUGUGGAUGAAGAGAUAGAUGAAUUGAUGGAUGGAUGGAUUGAUGGAUGGAUGGAUAGGAAGAUGGAUAGAUAGUGAUUGAUGGAUAGGAAGAUGGAUGGAUCGAUGGAUGGAUUAGUGGAUGAAUAGAUUGAUAGAUGAAUUGAUGGAUUUGUGGAUAGAUAGAUAGAUAGAUAGAUAGAUAGAGCAAUUGAUGGAUUGAUGGAUGGAUUGAUAGGAAGAUGGAUGGAUAGAUAGUGAUUGAUUGAUUGAUAGAUGGAUGGAUCAAUGGAUGGAUUUGUGGAUGAAUAGAUAGAUGAAUUGAUGGAUGGAUUGAUUGAUGGAUGGAUGGAUGGAUAGGAAGAUGGAUGGAUAGAUAGUGAUUGAUUGAUUGAUUGAUUGAUAGAUGGAUGGAUCAAUGGAUGGAUUUGUGGAUGAAGAGAUAGAUGAAUUGAUGGAUGGAUGGAUUGAUGGAUGGAUGGAUAGGAAGAUGGAUAGAUAGUGAUUGAUGGAUAGGAAGAUGGAUGGAUCGAUGGAUGGAUUAGUGGAUGAAUAGAUUGAUAGAUGAAUUGAUGGAUUUGUGGAUAGAUAGAUAGAUAGAUAGAUAGAGCAAUUGAUGGAUUGAUGGAUGGAUUGAUAGGAAGAUGGAUGGAUAGAUAGUGAUUGAUUGAUUGAUAGAUGGAUGGAUCAAUGGAUGGAUUUGUGGAUGAAUAGAUAGAUGAAUUGAUGAAUGGAUUGAUUGAUGGAUGGAUGGAUAGGAAGAUGGAUGGAUAGAUAGUGAUUGAUUGAUUGAUUGAUUGAUAGAUGGAUGGAUCAAUGGAUGGAUUUGUGGAUGAAGAGAUAGAUGAAUUGAUGGAUGGAUGGAU